UAGGGAAUAUUGGACAAUGGGGGCAACCCUGAUCCAGCCAUGCCGCGUGAGUGAAGAAGGCCCUCGGGUUGUAAAGCUCUUUUGUCCGGAAAGAAAAGCAUUCGGUGAAUACCCGGAUGUUCUGACGGUACCGGAAGAAUAAGCACCGGCUAACUUCGUGCCAGCAGCCGCGGUAAUACGAAGGGUGCAAGCGUUACUCGGAAUUACUGGGCGUAAAGCGUGCGUAGGUGGUUGUUUAAGUCUGAUGUGAAAGCCCUGGGCUCAACCUGGGAAUGGCAUUGGAAACUGGGCAGCCAGAGUGCGGUAGAGGGUAGUGGAAUUCCCGGUGUAGCAGUGAAAUGCGUAGAGAUCGGGAGGAACAUCUGUGGCGAAGGCGACUGCCUGGACCAGCACUGACACUGAGGCACGAAAGCGUGGGGAGCAAACA
rnacentral:rRNA from 1 species